rnacentral:misc_RNA from 1 species
UGGAACUUGCAGUAGUUGUUGAGGUCCAAUUGGUUGGACUUACAUACUCAAAUCCGCAUUCAUCUGCAGGCUUACAGCAUCCAGACUGAAGAGCAGAUAAGUGCUCUGUAUAAAACUUGGUGACAGUAUCAUUCAGAUAUUUAUCGUUAAAAUCAGAGCAAACUUUCCCGUCAAUCAAACAACUCUUAAUCUUGUUCCAAUUCUUAGUAUUAUUCACUCUCUUCUGCAACCAGUGGGAGUAAUCUCCCAAUCUGUACUCCUUAUAUCCCCUUUCAGACAACACUUGUCCAGCCCCUUUGU